GACGAACGCUGGCGGCGUGCUUAACACAUGCAAGUCGAACGGAAAGGCCCUGCUUUUGUGGGGUGCUCGAGUGGCGAACGGGUGAGUAACACGUGAGUAACCUGCCCUUGACUUUGGGAUAACUUCAGGAAACUGGGGCUAAUACCGGAUAGGAGCUCCUGCUGCAUGGUGGGGGUUGGAAAGUUUCGGCGGUUGGGGAUGGACUCGCGGCUUAUCAGCUUGUUGGUGGGGUAGUGGCUUACCAAGGCUUUGACGGGUAGCCGGCCUGAGAGGGUGACCGGCCACAAUGGGACUGAGAUACGGCCCAGACUCCUACGGGAGGCAACAGUGGGGAAUAUUGCACAAUGGGCGGAAGCCUGAUGCAGCAACGCCGCGUGCGGGAUGACGGCCUUCGGGUGGUAAACCGCUUUCGCCUGUGACGAAGCGGGAGUGACGGUAAUGGGUAAAGAAGCACCGGCUAACUACGUG
rnacentral:rRNA from 1 species